rnacentral:rRNA from 1 species
GACGAACGCUGGCGGCGUGCUUAACACAUGCAAGUCGAACGGAAAGGCCUGCUUUCCCUUGUGGAUUGCGGGUACUCGAGUGGCGAACGGGUGAGUAACACGUGAGUGAUCUGCCCCCAACUUGGGUAUAAGCCUGGGAAACUGGGUCUAAUUCCCGAUAGGACUGCAGGGUGGUGCCUGUGGUGGAAAACGAUUUUCUAGUGGUUGGGGAUGAGCUCGCGGCCUAUCAGCUUGUUGGUGGGGUAAUGGCCUACCAAGGCGGCGACGGGCAGCCGGCCUGGGGGGGUGGACGGCCACAUUGGGACUGAGAUACGGCCCAGAAUCCUACGGGAGGCAGCAGUGGGGAAUAUUGCACAAUGGGCGGAAGCCUGAUGCAGCGACGCCGCGUGGGGGAUGACGGCCUUCGGGUUGUAAACUCCUUUCGACCGCGAGGAAGCCACCUGGUUGGAAGGGUGGUGACGGUAGUGGUAGAAGAAGCACCGGCUAACUACGUG